rnacentral:pre_miRNA from 1 species
AAAGUAUUCCCUCCGUCCGGAAAUACUUGUCAUUAAAAUGAAUAAAAAGGGAUGUAUCUAGAUGUAUUUUAGUUUGAGAUACAUCCCUUUUUAUCCAUUUUGAUGACAAGUAUUUUCGGACGGAGGGAGUAGCUC